rnacentral:rRNA from 1 species
GAUGAACGCUGGCGGCGUGCCUAAUACAUGCAAGUCGAGCGAACAGACGAGGAGCUUGCUCCUCUGACGUUAGCGGCGGACGGGUGAGUAACACGUGGAUAACCUACCUAUAAGACUGGGAUAACUUCGGGAAACCGGAGCUAAUACCGGAUAAUAUAUUGAACCGCAUGGUUCAAUAGUGAAAGACGGUUUUGCUGUCACUUAUAGAUGGAUCCGCGCCGCAUUAGCUAGUUGGUAAGGUAACGGCUUACCAAGGCAACGAUGCGUAGCCGACCUGAGAGGGUGAUCGGCCACACUGGAACUGAGACACGGUCCAGACUCCUACGGGAGGCAGCAGUAGGGAAUCUUCGGCAAUGGGCGAAAGCCUGACGGAGCAACACCGCGUGAGUGAUGAAGGUCUUCGGAUCGUAAAACUCUUUUAUUAGGGAAGAACAAAUGUGUAAGUAACUAUGCACGUCUUGACGGUACCUAAUCAGAAAGCCCCGGCUAACUACGUG